rnacentral:rRNA from 1 species
AUACGGAGGGUCCAAGCGUUAUCCGGAAUCAUUGGGUUUAAAGGGUCCGCAGGCGGUCAAUUAAGUCAGAGGUGGAAGCCCAUCGCUCAACGAUGGAACUGCCUUUGAUACUGGUUGACUUGAGUUAUACGGAAGUAGAUAGAAUAAGUAGUGUAGCGGUGAAAUGCAUAGAUAUUACUUAGAAUACCGACUGCGAAGGCAGUCUACUACGUAUAUACUGACGCUGAGGGACGAAAGCGUGGGGAGCGAACAGGAUUAGAAACCCCGGUAGUCC